rnacentral:rRNA from 1 species
CCUCAGUUCGGAUUGGAGUCUGCAACUCGACUCCAUGAAGCUGGAUUCGCUAGUAAUCGCGCAUCAGCCAUGGCGCGGUGAAUACGUUCCCGGGCCUUGUACACACCGCCCGUCAAGCCAUGGAAGCCGGGAGUGCCUGAAGUGCGUGACCGCAAGGAGCGUCCUAAGGCAAUACCGGUGACUGGGGCUAAGUCGUAACAAGGUACC